AUGGAAAUCCCAGGGUUUCCCUAGCAACAGCUCCAAAUGGGUCUUGUUGCUAGGGAACACAGGGAUUUCCCAGGAUACAGCCUUUGGCUCAAUGGGGAAUCUACACAAGCUCUGGAGUAAUUAACCAUCCCACCGUCACUAUGGGGAGGUGUCAGGCUGCCAGCACCUGAGGGGACUUGCAUAAAGAUGGAGGAAGGAGCCACCACCCUGUUCCCAGUCCAUUCUGAGGUUCCACUAGUUUGCUAGGAUCCUCUAUUUUGUGUCACACAGUAUGCCAGUGGACAUGGGCACUCAUAUUAUCAGAGCAGUAUGGAAGAGCCCCAAACCAUCUACCAAGGUCUGCAGCACCCACCAUACAAACAUUUAAGUAGAUUAGGAAGUUACAGAUUUUAUGUAUUCAUUUAAUCAUCCAACAAAUACAUAUCAAGUACUCACAGUAUAGCAGAUACUGUGUUAAGCGCCAAAGCUAAAGUAACAAGCAUGGGUAAAUAGAGGCCUUAAGCUCACAGUUUUCCGUAACUAAAUGACAGGAUCCACAUGCCUUUAUAU
rnacentral:lncRNA from 1 species